rnacentral:lncRNA from 1 species
UUUUCAUGUUGUAGUCAUUUAUCAAGCGACUGUGAUUCUACGUACAAAAAAGACUAUGGUCAAAGUAAUAGGGCCAACUUUAUUAUAGACAGAAAAAAGAAUUCCCCCAAAGAGGGAUUUGGAAUUAAAAUUUAAGCAUGCCAACACCAAGCAGCCACUUUGGUGGACUCCACAUCGCAUCUUUUAUGUAAACAUCAUGGUACGUACUCUGCCA